rnacentral:rRNA from 1 species
GUUAAGCUCUUCAGCGCCGAUGGUAGUCGGGGGUUUCCCCCAGUGAGAGUAGGACGCCGCCAAGC